UACGGGGGGGGUAAGCGUUGUUCGGAAUUACUGGGCGUAAAGGGCUCGUAGGCGGCCAACUAAGUCGGACGUGAAAUCCCUCAGCUUAACUGGGGAACUGCGUCCGAUACUGGAUGGCUUGGAUGUGGGAGAGGGAUGCGGAAUUCCAGGUGUAGCGGUGAAAUGCGUAGAUAUCUGGAGGAACACCGGUGGCGAAGGCGGCAUCCUGGACCAAUAUUGACGCUGAGGAGCGAAAGCCAGGGGAGCAAACGGG
rnacentral:rRNA from 1 species